UACGUAGGCAGCGAGCGUUGUUCGGAGUUACUGGGCGUAAAGCGUGCGUAGGCGGUUGUCUAAGUCUGGGGUGAAAUCUCCCGGCUCAACUGGGAGGGUGCGCCGGAAACUGGAUGACUGGAGUGCCGGAGAGGUAAGCGGAAUUCCUGGUGUAGCGGUGAAAUGCGCAGAUAUCAGGAGGAACACCGGUGGCGAAGGCGGGACUCUGGGCCGAUACUGACGCUGAGGAGCGAAAGCGUGGGGAGCAAACAGG
rnacentral:rRNA from 1 species